CAGAGCUUUCAGUGUCUCUGCUGUCAUUUUUUCUGUCUCCCAUCAUCUUCUUGAAGAAGAAAAGAGGUAUGGCAGUGGGUAUGUCAUAAAAUGGCAGUGGGGGAAGGGUUAGGGUGUGUUGUCUCUACUGGGGUCUCUAGUGGUGGCCAUCCAAAAAUCAAAUCAGAAAGAGAAAACUAAGAAAAUUAAUAAGGCAUAAGUUUGCUUGAUUUUUUUUUUUCUUCCUCCUCCAAUUGCUAAAUACUUACAUACCAGAAAGACAGAGGUUAUUUUUUUCUAUGACUGAAAUGCCAUGAAAAGUUAAACCAAUACACAUUUUGCACAGUCACAGAAGCAGCCAUGGCUCAUGGAGGCAGCUCUUGUGUUCAGUAAAACCAGACAUCUCUAAACCCCAGACAGACACUUGUUAGGUGUUUCAAAAGUCUUCAUGUGUGAAAGGAAAAAAAAAAAGACAGGUAAAAUCCAUCAGUCACUGUGGGAAGCUGGUGCCUGUGUCUACCUACCUUUCUCACCCCUGGACACACGGGCCCCACCAGCUCCCAUCUGCCCCACCGUGCUCUUAGCUCUCUCUCUGAUACAAGUUGUAUGUGCAAUGUCUUGCUGCAAAACCGUAAAAAUAGCAGGUCUCUUCUUGGCACAUUGUGCUCAUCAGUUUUGUCCAAGCCAAGUAUGUGAUUUGAUGGACACCAUGCACAUGUGGAAGACACUUCAGGUCCAGAAGUCAAUGGAGAAGGCAGAAAGGAAGAAAAAGGUGAAACUCAGGAAACUAAUCUCGUGACUUGCUGUCCUCAGCUGCUCUGCCUGGUCUGCUCUUUUCGGGAGGGAAGCAUUGACCAUCGUCCCAACAGCCGAAGUCUGAGCAGAGUCUGAACUGCGAAGGUGUCUUAAAUAUUUCACCUGGUUCCUAAGGGAGACUUGAGGUCAUGCUCCCUACACAGUCUGCCGGUGGGGGCUCCUUUCCAGAUGCAUGCACCUGGCUCUGGUCCCUCUUGGAAAACCUCAAGUUCCUGCUGGUUUGGAGCAUUGGAGCACAAGCAGCACCAGAUCCCCUCUACCAGCAAGUGAUCCUCUUUGAGAUGUUUAUGAUGCUCAGGCAGGACCUCAAUGCUUACAACACUUCUUGGCUGUGAGUCUCCAAUGCUAGGACAAGGGGGAGAAGUUCAACAAAGCGGCUAAAAACUAACAAAAGCUCCAUCCAUGGAGAUGAGUUGCCUCAAAGGAAAUCUGGCUUCCUCCGAACAGGCAGCCCAGCCUUACCGACGGCGACAGAAAAUCCCGGCCACCGCAUGGCUUCGAGCUGUAGUAAGCCUGAGCUCUGUCCUGCACGUGGCUUUCAAGCUGCCGGCCUCCGCGUUGAUCUCGAUGCCUUUCGGAGCCUCCAUCACCAGCGCGCGCGUCGGCGACUCCAGCCUGUAACAGAA